GCCAUAGAGGGCUGGCAUACAAUAAUGGCUGUCCACGUGCCUAAAUAGCAGUUGAAGCAAGGGCCGGGCAAGACCGGUGCCAGCAGCCACGGUAACACCAGCGGCUCGAGUGGUAACCGCUAUUAUUGGGUCUAAAGGGUCUGUAGCCUGCAGGUUAAGUCUCUUGGUAAAUCCGGCAGCUUAACUGUCGGGGUUCAGGGGAUACUGGUCUGCUCGGGACCGGGAGAGGUGAGAGGUACCUCAGGGGUAGGGGUGAAAUCUUGUAAUCCUUGAGGGACCACCAGUGGCGAAGGCGUCUCACCAGAACGGGUCCGACGGCAAGGGACGAAAGCUAGGGGCACGAACCGGAUUAGAUACCCGGGUAGUCCUAGCCGUAAACGAUACUCGCUAGGUGUCGGCCACGGUGCGACCGUGGUCGGUGCCGUAGGGAAGCCGUGAAGCGAGCCACCUGGGAAGUACGGCCGCAAGGCUGAAACUUAAAGGAAUUGGCGGGGGAGCACUACAACGGGUGGAGCCUGCGGUUUAAUUGGAUUCAACGCCGGAAAUCUCACCGGGGGCGACAGCAUGAUGAAGGCCAGGCUGAAGACCUUGCCUGAUCCGCUGAGAGGUGGUGCAUGGCCGUCGUCAGUUCGUACUGUGAAGCAUCCUGUUAAGUCAGGCAACGAGCGAGACCCACGCCCACAGUUGCCAGCGAGCCCUUCGGGGUGGCGGGUACUCUGUGGGGACCGCCGCUGCUAAAGCGGAGGAAGGAAUGGGCAACGGUAGGUCAGUAUGCCCCGAAUCUCCCGGGCUACACGCGGGCUACAAUGGUCGGUACAAUGGGUAUCUACCCCGAGAGGGGAUGGAAAUCUCCUAAAACCGGUCGUAGUUCGGAUUGAGGGCUGCAACUCGCCCUCAUGAAGCUGGAAUCCGUAGUAAUCGCGUUUCAACAGAACGCGGUGAAUACGUCCCUGCUCCUUGCACACACCGCCCGUCAAACCACCCGAGUAGGGUCUGGAUAAGGGUGCGCCAUGUUGACGCAUUCGAAUCUGGGCUUUG
rnacentral:rRNA from 1 species